rnacentral:tRNA from 1 species
UGCUUUGUGGCUCAGUUGGUUAAAGUGCGAGACUAGCGAUACGGAGUCGUGGAUUCGAAUCCCACCAAAACAA